UACAGAGGUGCAAGCGUUGUUCGGAAUUAUUGGGCGUAAGGGCGCGUAGGCGGCUUGUUAAGUCGGCUGUGAAAGCCCGGGGCUCAACCCCGGAGGGUCAGCCGAUACUGGCAGGCUAGAGUACGGAAGAGGUAGCUGGAAUUCCCGGUGUAGCGGUGAAAUGCGCAGAUAUCAGGAGGAACACCAAUGGCGAAGGCAGCUCGCUGGGACGUGACUGACGCUGAGACGCGAAAGCGUGGGGAGCAAACAGG
rnacentral:rRNA from 1 species